rnacentral:rRNA from 1 species
UACGAAGGGGGCUAGCGUUGCUCGGAUUGACUGGGCGUAAAGGGCGCGUAGGCGGCUUGUACAGUCAGACGUGAAAUUCCUGGGCUCAACCUGGGGGCUGCGUUUGAUACGUAUGGGCUUGAGUUCGGAAGAGGGUCGUGGAAUUCCCAGUGUAGAGGUGAAAUUCGUAGAUAUCGUCAAGAACACCGAUAGUGAAGACAGCUUACCAAGCUUCAACUGACGCUGAGGCACGAAAGUGUGGGGAUCAAACAGG